rnacentral:rRNA from 1 species
GACGAACGCUGGCGGCGUGCUUAACACAUGCAAGUCGAACGGAAAGGCCCUGCUUUUGUGGGGUGCUCGAGUGGCGAACGGGUGAGUAACACGUGAGUAACCUGCCCUUGACUUUGGGAUAACUUCAGGAAACUGGGGCUAAUACCGGAUAGGAGCUCCUGCUGCAUGGUGGGGGUUGGAAAGUUUCGGCGGUUGGGGAUGGACUCGCGGCUUAUCAGCUUGUUGGUGGGGUAGUGGCUUACCAAGGCUUUGACGGGUAGCCGGCCUGAGAGGGUGACCGGCCACGUUGGGACGGAGAUACGGCCCAGACGCCUACGGGAGGCAGCAGUGGGGAAUAUUGCACAAUGGGCGGAAGCCUGAUGCAGCAACGCCGCGGGCGGGAUGACGGCCUUCGGGUUGUAAACCGCUUUCGCCUGUGACGAAGCGUGAGUGACGGUAAUGGGUAAAGAAGCACCGGCUAACUACGUG